ensembl:snRNA RNU7-49P RNA, U7 small nuclear 49 pseudogene
UAAUGUCAUAGCUCUUUUAAAAUUUGUUUAGCAGGCUUUCUGGUUUUUGCCGGAAAGCCCUC